rnacentral:rRNA from 1 species
GCAUGUUCACAUGAUUAAAGGUAUUCCGGUAGACGAUGGGGAUGCGUUCCAUUAGAUAGUAGGCGGGGUAACGGCCCACCUAGUCUUCGAUGGAUAGGGGUUCUGAGAGGAAGGUCCCCCACAUUGGAACUGAGACACGGUCCAAACUCCUACGGGAGGCAGCAGUGAGGAAUAUUGGUCAAUGGGCGAGAGCCUGAACCAGCCAAGUAGCGUGAAGGAUGACUGCCCUAUGGGUUGUAAACUUCUUUUAUAAAGGAAUAAAGUCGGGUAUGCAUACCCGUUUGUAUGUACUUUAUGAAUAAGGAUCGGCUAACUCCGUGCCAGCAGCCGCGGUAAUACGGAGGAUCCGAGCGUUAUCCGGAUUUAUUGGGUUUAAAGGGAGCGUAGAUGGAUGUUUAAGUCAGUUGUGAAAGUUUGCGGCUCAACCGUAAAAUUGCAGUUGAUACUGGAUAUCUUGAGUGCAGUUGAGGCAGGCGGAAUUCGUGGUGUAGCGGUGAAGUGCUUAGAUAUCACGAAGAACUCCGAUUGCGAAGGCAGCCUGCUAAGCUGCAACUGACAUUGAGGCUCGAAAGUGUGGGUAUCAAACAGGAUUAGAUACCCUGGUAGUCCACACGGUAAACGAUGAAUACUCGCUGUUUGCGAUAUACAGCAAGCGGCC